GAUGAACGCUAGCGGCAGGCCUAAUACAUGCAAGUCGAACGGUAACAUGAGAGCUUGCUCUUGAUGACGAGUGGCGCACGGGUGCGUAACGCGUAUGCAACCUACCCUUUACAGGGGGAUAGCCCGGAGAAAUUCGGAUUAAUACCCCAUAGUACUAUAAUGUAGCAUUAUAUAAUAGUUAAAGAUUUAUUGGUAAAGGAUGGGCAUGCGUGACAUUAGUUAGUUGGUAAGGUAAUGGCUUACCAAGACUAUGAUGUCUAGGGGUUCUGAGAGGAAGAUCCCCCACACUGGUACUGAGACACGGACCAGACUCCUNACGGGAGGCAGCAGUAGGGAAUAUUGGUCAAUGGACGAGAGUCUGAACCAGCCAUGCCGCGUGCAGGAAGACGGCCUUCUGGGUUGUAAACUGCUUUUAUAUAGGAACAAAUAGACCAUGCGUGGUAAGUUGAGUGUACUAUAUGAAUAAGCACCGCUAACU
rnacentral:rRNA from 1 species